CCCGCCCGCCCGCCCGCUGCUCGGCCUGCCCCGGCGGCGGGGUCCGGCACCGCAGAAAGAGGGGAAGUGAAGAACUUCGGCCGUUGCCUCUCACACUUGCGACUCAACAAGCGACCCAACCGGCCACCUAUCAAUUUUACGAGACGGCGCUCAACCAACUGAGCCACACAGGCUGGAAACGCCUGUCACCCCUGCUGGAGCUGAGAUACUGAAGAUGCAACACCGGAGAGGUCUCGCUGCGGCCACCAGCCAGAGCGAGCAGAACAGCGAUGUUGGGCCAGAGAAGUGGCUGGUCCGGGGCCACCCCACAGCCGUGCUGUGUCACAAUUAAGCCACCUGCACUGCAGCCCAAAUUGGGGGUUUCUUACUUUUCGAUGUUCUUUUUCUCAAUUGUUUUCUUCUCAUUUAAUUUUUUUUCUUUAUUUGCUUUUUUCCCCCGUUUUCUUCUUUAGAAUUUUUUUUUAGGUAGUAUGGGUAUAGUUAGCAUUGUUUAUUAGUAUUGUCAGUUAGCACUGUUAGUAGUUAGUAUAGUUAAUAUUAGUAUAGUUGCUACAGUUAGCAUUGUUUACUGGUAUUGUUUAUUAGCAGAAUUAGUAUGGUUAGCAUUGGUAUAAUUACUAUAGUUAGCAUUGCUUAUUAGCAUAGUUAGCAUGUUACCAUAGAAUAGUUAGUACUGUUUGUCAGCAUAGUUAGUACGCACAGUUAGCAUCGACAGUGUUGUCGGUAUGGCUGGCAAGUUGCCGUGUCUAACGACCUUGCGGCCAUCCCUGCCAACAAAGAGCCCCAUACUGGCCUUUAUGAGCUCCUGAAAACUAUUGGCAAGGGAACCUUUGUCAAUGCAAGGCUGGCCCGGCACAUUCCGAUGGGGACAGAGGUGGCUGUCAAAGUUGUUAAUUGGCGGGGCUCCCCUAUGCCUUUUCAAGAAGUCCGCUAUAUGAAGGGUUUGAAUCCCCAGUAGCAGUUAUUUGAGGAGACUGCUACUGGGCAACAUUAUUCCUUCUAUGACGCGUAGGAGCAGAGGAGACUGGCUUGGUUACCUGGAGGGCCCCUCGACUGAGGAGGAGGCCCGAGCCUUGUUCUGGCAGCUGGGGUCAGCAGUACAGUGCUGCCGCCAGAGGGGCAUCACCCACGGGGCCCAAAGCCAGAGAACCAUCCUCAGAGAUGCUGAGCCGACUGGCAGACUGGCUGACUGGCCGCCUUCAGCCUCAGCGGCGAAGGCACUGGCCGUGAGCCGUUCUGUGGCAUCCUCUCUUAUGUCGCCCCCGAGCUCUGCUGGUGCCAAACUUAUGACAGCCCUGGGGUUGAUGUAUGGAGCCUGGGGGUAGUUCUGUACAGGGACCCUGCUGUUUGUGGGGGAGGACUUCUGAGAACUGAAGCAUCAGAUGUGGAGUGGACACUUGCAUGUACCUAUACUUUACGUCUACAGAAUGUCAAAAAGUUUUCUAAAAAUUAAUGACCCUUGGAACCCGGCAAAAGAACAACCCUGGAAUAUGUUAUGAAGGACCCACAGCUCAACACGGGCCAGGAGGAGGAGCCCAGGCCUUUUAGGGAGCCCCCAGGACAACAUGGACCCCAGGUGACAGGGAUAGUAAAGAACCUGGCGUUUGAACGAGACAAGAUCCAGGAAUAAGUAACAGAACAAAAGUACAACAAAGCGAUGGGCACAUGCUUGAUCCUAAGUCCCUGAAAACCAAGGUGAAGGGCCACACCAUCAGAAUAAGACCCUGCCCCAAUCCUGACGCCAAGACCUUAAGCCCUUCCCCAGCCUGAGAGGUUCUGCCCUGGUGGCAGAAGACCAAAGAACCUGCUAUCCCCCAGCCAGCUUGGAGUCCAGGACCUCCAUCCCCAACCCGGCCCUCCAGAGAGGCUCGGUGGGCUUCCCCGCACCCACAGUAGCAGCAGCAGCUCAGCAGUGGCGGCACCUCCAGAGGGAACCAACACAAAAACUCCUUUCAUGCUGGGCAGCCUGAGGGUGGGACCCCAGCCUCUCCCUCUGGCCACAGGCAUGGCCAGCAGGGGGCGGUAACUAGGAGGUUCUUCCAUUUCCCAUUAAGAUGCACGUGCUGUAGGCUGUCCACUACCAGAAGCACAAGUCAAACCAAUAUAAUUUUUAAAAUUGUGGAAAACCAAGGCAGGACCACAGUCAAGACUCUGGCUCAAGCCAUACCGCCCCCCCCCCUCGCAUUUUACAUCAAACUUAAAGGUGCCGCGCACCAGGGCGGCCAGCCACCUGGUGCAGGGGUCAGCCAGAGGCAAGGCCCAAGCAGCUGCAGGGGACAGCAGUGCCGGCCGGCCAUGCGCACCUCUCAGGGGGAGGACUUGAUCCAGCAGACAAUGAAGAUGUGCAAACCGCUCAGCUCCCAGGGUGGCCUGCAGCGCCCCACUGGAAGGGGGGGCUAAGAGGACAGGCCCCCCUCCCUGCAGUCCACCCCUCAGCCCCCACUUGAAUGAAACUUCAGAGACUGAACUGUUUUUGCUGGGGGCCCUUCUCGCCUCCCCUGCUCUUCUUUUCUCCCCCGUGUGUGGGGGUUCUUAUUAAAGUGUUUGGUUCUUCCAAAUCUUAUAAUA